CUCCAGCUCCGCAGGUGUACAUCUAUGCUGCUGCGGUUAAAAAGCUCGUAGUUGGAUCUGCGUGCUCGGAACUGGUUGGCUCACUGAGUUCAAACUGGUCUCCGGCGCUUUAUUGGCUGGUUUUCCCUUGAUGCUCUUAACCGGGUAUCUUGGGUGGCUAGCACGUUUACUUUGAAAAAAUUAGAGUGCUCAAUACAGGCGUAAAGCCUUGAAUAGUGGUGCAUGGAAUAAUAGAAUAGGACCUCGGCUCUAUUUUGUUGGUUUUCGGAACGCAGGUAAUGAUUAAGAGGGACAGACGGGGGCAUUCGUAUUGCGACGUUAGAGGUGAAAUUCUUGGAUCGUCGCAAGACGGACGACUGCGAAAGCAUUUGCCAAGAAUGUUUUCAUUAAUCAAGAACGAAAGUUAGAGGUUCGAAGGCGAUCAGAUACCGCCCUAGUUCUAACCGUAAACGAUGCCAACUAGCGAUUCGCAGGCGUUAAACAACGACCUUGCGGGCAGCUUCCCAGAAACGAAAGUGUUCGGGUUCCGGGGGAAGUAUGGUUGCAAAGCUGAAACUUAAAGGAAUUGACGGAAGGGCACCACCAGGAGUGGAGCCUGCGGCUUAAUUUGACCCAACACGGGAAAACUCACCCGGCCCGGACACCGUAAGGAUUGACAGAUUGAGAGCUCUUUCUUGAUUCGGUGGGUGGUGGUGCAUGGCCGUUCUUAGUUGGUGGGGCGAUUUGUCUGGUUUAUUCCGAUAACGAACGAGACUCUGGCCUACUAAAUAGUGGGCGGAUUCUUUCUGUCCGCAACACUUCUUAGAGGGACAAGCGGUGUUCAGCCGCACGAGAUUGAGCAAUAACAGGUCUGUGAUGCCCUUAGAUGUCCGGGGCUGCACGCGCGCUACACUGAAGGAAUCAGCGUGCUUUCUGACCUUGCCCGAAAGGGCUGGGUAACCCGAUGAAAAUCCUUCGUGAUUGGGAUAGGGACUUGCAAUUAUUUCCCUUGAACGAGGAAUUCCCAGUAAGUGUGGGUCAUAAGCUCGCGUUGAUUACGUCCCUGCCCUUUGUACACACCGCCCGUCGCUGCCCGGAACUGAGCCGUUUCGAGAAGAACAGGGACCGUCGUUGAAGGGCCUUAACGGGCUUUUCUCUGAUAGAAACUGUU
rnacentral:rRNA from 1 species